CCGGACUCGGCGGGGAGCGAUGGCCGGCCGGGGCGUGUCCGGUCACGGCACUGGCGGGCGGGACGGCCCCGGUUCCGACCGGGGGUCCGCC
rnacentral:tRNA from 1 species